UCCGACUCUGCAUUUCCACUCUCGUGCUGCCCAAGGAGGAAUCCUGCUCUGGUAGUGACACUGGCCCUGUGACAGGAAGCACUUACAAACCAUCCCCCAUGCGACUGGAGGCCUUACAGGUAUUGGCUCACCUGGCCCGGGGCUACUUUUCAGUGGCUCAGGUCUACUUGAUGGAGCUUGGUGAGGUGAUUUGCAAGUGCGUGAGUGAAGCAGAUCCAUCCAUUCAGCUUCAUGGAGCAAAGGUAAUUUCAUUAAAAGCCUUUUCUUCUGAGAUUUCUUAAAGAGAUUUCAGGUAAGGAAUACAUACAGUCCUCUAUUUUCAGUGCUUACCUAUAAACGUGAAGAACCGAUUUGGUAAUAAAUUAAUGUGUAGCUG
rnacentral:lncRNA from 1 species